GGCUACACACGUGCUACAAUGGGUAGUACAGAGAGUCGCAAAGCCGCGAGGUGGAGCUAAUCUCAGAAAACUAUUCUUAGUUCGGAUUGUACUCUGCAACUCGAGUACAUGAAGUUGGAAUCGCUAGUAAUCGCAAAUCAGCAAUGUUGCGGUGAAUACGUUCUCGGGUCUUGUACACACCGCCCGUCACACCACGAGAGUUGGUUGCACCUGAAGUAGCAGGCCUAACCGCAAGGAGGGAUGCUCCGAGGGUGUGAUUAGCGAUUGGGGUGAAGUCGUAACAAGGUAUCCGUACGGGAACGU
rnacentral:rRNA from 1 species